rnacentral:rRNA from 1 species
CGCAAGGUUGAAACUCAAAGGAAUGGACGGGGACCCGAACAAGCGGUGGAGCUUGUGGUUUAAUUCGAAGCAAGGUGAAGAACCUUACCAAAUCUUGACAUCCUUUGACAACUCUAGAGAUAGAGCCUUCCCCUUCGGGGGACAAAGUGACAGGUGGUGCAUGGUUGUCGUCAGCUCGUGUCGUGAGAUGUUGGGUUAAGUCCCGCAACGAGCGCAACCCUUAAGCUUAGUUGCCAUCAUUAAGUUGGGCACUCUAAGUUGACUGCCGGUGACAAACCGGAGGAAGGUGGGGAUGACGUCAAAUCAUCAUGCCCCUUAUGAUUUGGGCUACACACGUGCUACAAUGGACAAUACAAAGGGCAGCGAAACCGCGAGGUCAAGCAAAUCCCAUA